rnacentral:lncRNA from 1 species
GGGGAUGUGAGUUCGUGAAGAGGAGUACAGGGGUGCUGAUAUUUAAAGGUGGUCUGAGAAGGGGUAAAAGAGGAAUUUUUACCGCGUCGGCAUUUUGAUUUUUUCGGGAGGAGUGGUUGUCGUGGGCGCCCGUUUCGAAAAGAUUGCAAUCAUUAGGCUGGAGACCGCGAAAUGGAAGGAUAUUUUCAAUGCGUUUGUUUCGGAAAGGAAGUUGAAAGGAAUUUUGAAGUAAAGAUUAUGUUUUACUCCGAAACUGGGGGGCAUGUGUUGACACCAAAUUUUGAC